GACGAACGCUGGCGGCGUGCCUAAUACAUGCAAGUCGAACGAGAGCGCCCGGUGCUUGCCCUGGUCAAUCUAGUGGCGAACGGGUGAGUAACACGUGGGUAACCUGCCCAUCAGAGGGGGAUAACAUUCGGAAACGGAUGCUAACACCGCAUAGGUCUUCGCACCGCAUGGUUUGAAGAGGAAAAGAGGCGCAAGCUUCUGCUGAUGGAUGUACCCGCGGUGCAUUAGCUAGUUGGUGAGGUAACGGCUCACCAAGGCCGUGAUGCAUAGCCGACCUGAGAGGGUGAUAGGCGACAUUGGGACUGAGACACGGCCAAAACUCCUACGGGAGGCAGCAGUAGGGAAUCUUCCGCAAUGGACGCAAGUCUGACGGAGCAACGCCGCGUGAGUGAAGAAGGUGUUCGGAUCGUAAAACUCUGUUGUUAGAGAAGAAUAAGUGCUAGAGUAACUGUUAGCGCCUUGACGGUAACUAACCAGAAAGCCACGGCUAACUACGUG
rnacentral:rRNA from 1 species